GCUGAGGAAAAAUGAUUCAACAUGGGCAAAGGAGAUCCUAAGAAGCCAAAAGGCAAAAUGUCAUCAUAUGCAUUUUUUGUGCAAACUUGUUGGGAGGAACAUAAGAAGCAGCACCCAGAUGCUUCAGUCAACUUCUCAGAGUUUUCUAAGAAGUGCUCAGAGAGGUGGAAGGCCAUGCCUGCUAAAGAGAAAGGAAAAUUGAAGAUAUGGCAAACGCAGACAAGGCCCGCUAUGAAAGAGAAAUGAAAACCCAUAUCCCUCCUAAAGGGGAGACAAAAAAGAAAUUCAAGGAUCCCAGUGCACCCAAGAGGCCUCCUUCGGCCUUUUUCCUGUUCUGCUCUGAGUAUCGCCCAAAAAUCAAAGGAGAACAUCUUGGCCUGUCCAUGGGUGAUGUUGUGAAGAAACUGGGAGAGAUGUGGAGUAACACCGCUGCAGAUGACAAGCAGCCUUAUGAAAAGAAGGCUUCGAAGCUGAAGGAAAAAUAUGAAAAGGAUAUUGCUGCAUAUCGAGCUAAAGGAAAGCCUGAUGCAGCAAAAAAGGGAGUUGUCAAGGCUGAAAAAAUGCAAGAAAGAGGAGGAAGAGGAUGAUGAGGAGGAGGAAGAUGAAGAAAAGUUGAUUCUAGUGCAGUUUUUUUUUCUUGUCUAUAAAGCAUUUAACCCUCCCAUACACAACUCACUCCUUUCAAAGAAAAAAAUGGAAAUGUAAGGCUGUGUAAGAUUUGUUUUAAACUGUACAGUGUCUUUUUUAAUGUAGUUUACACACUACCGAAUGUGUCUUUAGCCCUAUCCUGGUGGUAUUUUCAAUAGCCACUAACCUUGCGUGGUAUAGGGUGGGGGAUGCAAACUGGCCUGGAAAUGUAAAGCAGGUUCUUUGGUGCACAGCACAAAUUAGUUACAUAUAAGGA